ACGGGUGAGUAACACGUGGGUAACCUACCUCAUAGUGGGGGAUAACUAUUGGAAACGAUAGCUAAUACCGCAUAAUAUUAAUUAUUGCAUGAUAAUUGAUUAAAAGGUGCAAUUGCACCACUACCAGAUGGACCUGCGUUGUAUUAGCUAGUAGGUGAGGUAACGGCUCACCUAGGCGACGAUACAUAGCCGACCUGAGAGGGUGAUCGGCCACACUGGGACUGAGACACGGCCCAGACUCCUACGGGAGGCAGCAGUAGGGAAUCUUCGGCAAUGGACGAAAGUCUGACCGAGCAACGCCGCGUGAGUGAAGAAGGUUUUCGGAUCGUAAAGCUCUGUUGUAAGAGAAGAACGGGUGUGAGAGUGGAAAGUUCACACUGUGACGGUAUCUUACCAGAAAGGGACGGCUAACUACGUGCCAGCAGCCGCGGUAAUACGUAGGUCCCGAGCGUUGUCCGGAUUUAUUGGGCGUAAAGCGAGCGCAGGCGGUUAGAUAAGUCUGAAGUUAAAGGCUGUGGCUUAACCAUAGUACGCUUUGGAAACUGUUUAACUUGAGUGCAGAAGGGGAGAGUGGAAUUCCAUGUGUAGCGGUGAAAUGCGUAGAUAUAUGGAGGAACACCGGUGGCGAAAGCGGCUCUCUGGUCUGUAACUGACGCUGAGGCUCGAAAGCGCGGGGAGCGAACAGGAUUAGAUACCCU
rnacentral:rRNA from 1 species